rnacentral:rRNA from 1 species
UACAGAGGUCUCAAGCGUUGUUCGGAUUCAUUGGGCGUAAAGGGUGCGUAGGUGGCGCUGUAAGUCGGGUGUGAAAUUUCGGAGCUUAACUCCGAAACUGCAUUCGAUACUGCGGUGCUUGAGGACUGGAGAGGAGACUGGAAUUCAUGGUGUAGCAGUGAAAUGCGUAGAGAUCAUGAGGAAGACCAGUGGCGAAGGCGGGUCUCUGGACAGUUCCUGACACUGAGGCACGCAGGCCAGGGGAGCAAACGGG